rnacentral:rRNA from 1 species
UACGAAGGGGGCUAGCGUUGCUCGGAAUCACUGGGCGUAAAGGGUGCGUAGGCGGGUCUUUAAGUCAGGGGUGAAAUCCUGGAGCUCAACUCCAGAACUGCCUUUGAUACUGAGGAUCUUGAGUUCGGGAGAGGUGAGUGGAACUGCGAGUGUAGAGGUGAAAUUCGUAGAUAUUCGCAAGAACAUCAGUGGCGAAGGCGGCUCACUGGCCCGAUUCUGACGCUGAGGCACGAAAGCGUGGGGAGCAAACAGG